rnacentral:rRNA from 1 species
GAUGAACGCUGGCGGCGUGCCUAACACAUGCAAGUCGAGCGAAGCGGGGACGGGUGAGUAACACGUGGAUAACCUCCUAUAAGACUGGGAUAACUUCGGGAAACCGGAGCUAAACCGGAUACUAAUAGAUGGAUCCGCGCUGCAUUAGCGAGUUGGUAAGGUAACGGCUUACCAAGGCAACGAUGCAUAGCAGACCUGAGAGGGUGAGCGGCCACACUGGAACUGAGCCACGGUCCAGACUCCUACGGGAGGCAGCAGUGGGGAAUCUUCCGCAAUGGGCGAAAGCCUGACGGAGCAACGCCGCGUGUGUGAUGAAGGUCUUCGGAUCGUAAAACUCUGUUAUUAGGGAAGCGGUACCUGAUCAGAAAGCCACGGCUAACUACGUGCCAGCAGCCGCGGUAAUUC